UACGAAGGGGGCUAGCGUUGCUCGGAAUCACUGGGCGUAAAGCGCACGUAGGCGGAUUGCUAAGUCAGGGGUGAAAUCCUGGGAGCUCAACUCCAGAACUGCCUUUGAUACUGAAGAUCUUGAGUUCGGGAGAGGUGAGUGGAACUGCGAGUGUAGAGGUGAAAUUCGUAGAUAUUCGCAAGAACACCAGUGGCGAAGGCGGCUACCUGGACCAGCAUUGACACUCAAGCACGAAAGCGUGGGGAGCAAACAGG
rnacentral:rRNA from 1 species